CCUACGGGUGGCAGCAGUGAGGAAUAUUGGUCAAUGGGCGCGAGCCUGAACCAGCCAAGCCGCGUGAAGGAUGAAUGUCCUACGGGUUGUAAACUUCUUUUAUAAGGGAACAAAGUCAGGCACGUGUCCCUGUAUGAAUGUACCUUAUGAAUAAGGAUCGGCUAACUCCGUGCCAGCAGCCGCGGUAAUACGGAGGAUCCGAGCGUUAUCCGGAUUUAUUGGGUUUAAAGGGAGCGUAGAUGGGUUGUUAAGUCAGUUGUGAAAGCCCGGGGCUCAACCCGAGAAUUGCAUUUGAUACUGGCAGCCUUGAGUACAGGAGAGGUAGGCGGAAUGCGUGGUGUAGCGGUGAAAUGCAUAGAUAUCACGAAGAACUCCGAUUGCGAAGGCAGCCUGCUGGACUGCCACUGACGUUGAGGCUCGAAAGUGUGGGUAUCAAACAGGAUUAGAUACCCUUGUAGUC
rnacentral:rRNA from 1 species